rnacentral:rRNA from 1 species
CCUACGGGAGACUGCAGUGAGGAAUAUUGGUCAAUGGACGAGAGUCUGAACCAGCCAAGUAGCGUGAAGGAUGACUGCCCUAUGGGUUGUAAACUUCUUUUAUAUGGGAAUAAAACAGGGUAUGCAUACCCUCUUGUAUGUACCAUAUGAAUAAGGAUCGGCUAACCCCGUGCCAGCAGCCGCGGUAAUACGGAGGAUCCGAGCGUUAUCCGGAUUUAUUGGGGUUAAAGGGAGCGUAGGUGGAUUGUUAAGUCAGUUGUGAAAGUUUGCGGCUCAACCGUAAAAUUGCAGUUGAAACUGGCAGUCUGGAGUACAGUAGAGGUGGGCGGAAUUCGUGGUGUAGCGGUGAAAUGCUUAGAUAUCAUGAAGAACUCCGAUCGCGAAGGCAAGUGGCCGGGGUGCAACUGACGCUGAGGCUCGAAAGUGCGGGUAUCAAACAGGAUUAGAUACCCUAGUAGUC